GCGUUCGACCAGCUCCGGCAUCACCGUCCACGCGGGUUUUACGGCCGAAGGAACACCCGCACCGUCAUGGGACCCUCGGGAGGGAUUGGGGUCUGUGCCCGGGUGUCCCCGGGCUCUCGGUGCCCAGAUCGGGGACCAGCUCUCCAAGUCCGAGAGAAGACAUCCCAGGACGACAGGAAGGAAGAUGGAGAGAAACAUCAAUGAUGAGUCAUUGAUCAGCUGCUUCCUGCAUGACCCCACGGGGGAUCGAGCCCACAACCUGGGCAUGUGCUCUUGACAAGAAUCAAACCUGGGACCCUUCAGUCCAAAAGCCGAUGCUCUAUCCCUGAGCCAAACCGGCCAGAGCCACAUGGUCUAUUUCAAGGCAAAUGCAUCACUCCCCAUCAUCACGACCGUUUCUCAGUCUUUGUAAGUUUGGUCAGGACAACAGAGAAAACAUUCCAGAUUUGCUCCUCAUCAUCUCAAACAUUAUUUCCUCGAUUGCAUAGCCUGCCCCAUUAUGGUGACCUCCGGCCAGGUGUUUUGAAAUCCUGUGGAAGUUUACCAUCAUUUCCGUCUCCUUAAUUGCUGUAUUCGUCCUUUUCCUCUGGAGAACUAUGCUUGUGGUGAGUCUACUAAAGUACCUUAUAAAUACCUUUUAAUUCAAAAAUAAGCGGA